rnacentral:rRNA from 1 species
AACGUAGGUGGCGAGCGUUAUCCGGAUUUACUGGGCGUAAAGGGUGUGCAGGCUGCUUUUCAAGUGGUGUAUGAAAUCGCCCGGCUCAACCGGGCGGGGUUAUGCCAGACUGGGAAGCUAGAGUGCGGGAGAGGGGCGUGGAAUUCCGGGUGUAGUGGUGAAAUGCGUAGAGAUCCGGAGGAACCCCAGAGGCGAAGGCGGCGCCCUGGCCCGCAACUGACGCUCAGACACGACAGCAUGGGGAGCGAACGGG